rnacentral:lncRNA from 1 species
CCGGGGAUGUGAAGGUCUCCCUCCUGCAUGUUCUGAUGCUCAGUGUAAUCUACCACAUUCUCCUCUCUGCACUCAUCUCUCUCUGACACGAGGAGGAAGAAAAGAGCACAUGAUUCAACACUGACCCAGUUCUUGGGGGAGGUGUGGAGAAAGCCUGAGGACAGAGACACAGAACAACAGCAAGCACGGCUGCUUUCCACCUCCGCUGAUUUCUGAAGGCAUGCAGCACUCGCUGAGUGGACAAACCGACACGCUUGGUGCCUGCCAGAAACUGCAACUGACCCCAGGCACAUGGGCCUGGAGCUACCUAGCAACCUAGGUAAAGCUCCCUAAACACCAAGAGAGGCAGACUUUAUAGCUCUACUGUGUAUUGGAUUCCUACAUGCAAGAGAUUCUGCAGCAAAGACAGCAGAUGAAAACCCUAGCCUGCCUGAAGCUUACAUUAUGGUUAAGUAGGGAACUGGUUACAGGUGAUGGAAAUUCUGGGAAGCCACCCUGGAAAAGGGAAGCAAUCAAACAUUAACAAAAACAGGAAGCAGCUAACAGCCUUGGGCUAGACGGACAGCAGAGGAGGCAGCAGGAGGUGACAGUGCCAGAAAUUAGAAUCUGGAGCCAACUAGAACUACAACCAGAGUGAGGCUGUCUGGAGUGACAUGGGACCGUGAAAGGAGGGGAGCUGGGGCCAUGAAGAAGAUGCUGUCAGAGAUCCCCAGGUAGGGAGAAGGGUGGACAGAAAUACCCUGGCUUCUCCCUCCUCCCGCUCACCAGUCUCCAGUCAGACCCUUCCUGCCUGGAAGCCCAAGGACAAGGCACUGAGAGAAGCAGUUCCCUGCACACAGCACUGAGGGGGCGGGGGGGGACAAGGAAAGAGUCAGGAGCAAACCCAGAGGCACGAGAAGUGGCAUCUGUUCUGAGCCAAAGCCCCCAGAAUGACUGGAACUCAGGAUGUAUAAGGUGAGGUGGAUUCAGAAAAUUGUGAGUUUAGAGAAGUAAGGUAGACUGAGGCCAGAUCCCAUCAGCACAUUCUCUGCCAGGACCUACAUUAGAGCAAAAUAAUGCCAGAUUUACGCAAUGCUGGGCUUCCAAGGACUUUCUUCAGACAAUUCAGCAUAAACACCUCUGAACAUCUUUGGAGAAAAUCCAAAAAUCUGGCCUUCCAGAAACAUUUGCUGCUAGACUUCUUACCCCUAACGCGAUGAAGAGUGAAAUGAGAACAGUCAAGAUCCUCAUGGCUCUCCAGAGACUGUCCUCAGCCCGUGGCUAUGGGCACCGAGCUACCUGCCAGGUGCUGUGCUAGGUGCUGGACCGUAUGCUGACUAUGACACAGUCCCUACCCGCAGGAGCUCACGGUCUGGUCACGAAUAACCAGCCGUUUAAAUGAAAUGUAAUAAAGACAGUGACAGAGCCAUGGAGACCCAGCUCUGGGAACACAAGGAAAGAAACCCAGGAGGGCAGAGCUGAGCCUUAGAGCACAGGAGGCCUGAACCGCCUCUGCAAGGAUAAGCGGGAAUUGGUCAGAUAAGGAAGUGUGAAGGCAAGCAGGGAUCGCAUCCUUGGGGAAAACGUGUAGCAGGAGCCAAGUCCUGGAGGAGUGAAGGAGAACGGGGUACCCAGGGAAGGGCAGGAAGGUUGGUGCUGCAGCCACAAGGAGACAGAGAAGCGAAGAGGCUGGGAGAGGUAGGCACAGCCAACCUGGGGCUGUGCACUGAAGCUUGCCUUUUAUUCUGCAGGAUUGGGGCUCAAGAAAGGUCCAACCCCUCAAAUCUCCUCUACAAAAUAAGCUGUCACCACCAAACCGUGAGACAAUCCAUGAGCAAAGGCCCUGGAAGCCCCAUCCUCUCACAUUAAAAAUCAAGAAAUUCUAGCCUUGGGAGAAAAAUGUGGCCCAAGGUCACAAGCUAGGACGGAGCUAGGACUGGAGCCCCAAGCCCGCUCCCAGCACAGGCUCCUCCACUGCAUUUGGCUGCCUGCUCCAUUGUCAGCAAAUCCCUGAGUGGGUACGCCUGAAAACUGCCCUACCAAGAACAUUCUACUAAUCUCACGUCUCAGUAGCACAUGUUUCAGACGUUUCCACUGAAGCCUCAUAAAGAAAGUUUUUUCUUCGCUCUUACUAUUCUGAGAUUGGUUCCAGAGCCCAGAUCUACUCUAGGCCAACGAGUAUUCGUAUUGCUAUUAACUGGGAAUGCAAUGCAGCUGCAGUGUAACGAAGAUGAGCUCAAAGAGCAUCCCGGAGACAUCUCAGCAAGGAAAGAGGUGAGCAAGCACAGGGCAAACCUCCCUCUGGUUGAUGCAUUCAUCAGAGGAGUAUCUGGAAAAAUGCAGAGGAAGACCUUUAAGUAUUCGCAUAUCAAGGACCUAUCGCUACGUAUGAAUCCACUCACUCCACAAAUAACUAAGUGAUCGUCUAUUAUGUGCCAGGCAGUGAGCUAUGUUCCGUCAGAAGAUGGGACAGAGGGAAAACCAGGAUAAAUCACACUUGGUCCAUAGAUAUGAAGAGAAAUUCACGGAGACAUAACCCAUCUUGGAAAAAACUAAACAGGCUACAGUGACUGGCAUCGAACCUGCACAAAUGAGUUUAUUUGGAGUACAAGAGGUGCAAAAGGUGCAGGCACAGAGAAAACAGGUGAACAGUGAUGGGGAGGCUAUGGAAUCACACCUGGAGGAGCCAGAGACCCGAGCCCUCCCGGACAGGUGCUCUCGGAAGAGAAGGGGCCUUGGGAGCUAACAGAUUUUGGAGCUUCUGACUCAGUGGCCACCUCCAUCUUCGGUUUCCUGUCUUUGAGCACUGAUCUUUACUGCACUUUCUGUUUUCCAAAGAGACUGGGAAAACAGGCAUCUAAUGCUCAGCAGGCAAGGAAGGCUGUGACUGAAGCCUGCCACAUGCUCUUGACAGACCCUGAGAAGCUGGCUGGCUGGUGUCACAAGUGAGUCUUAAGUGCCAAGAAAGGGAGGUUCCCUCGCUGGCCCCUGACACCAGCAGUCAGCCUCCUGUGACCUGGGCCCAGAUGACGAGAAUGUUUGACUGGUGAGUCAAACUACCCAUGGAAAGAAAACAAUUCCUGUUUCUGUUCCAUAAAAUAGACUUUAACUAGAAUUCCAUCCUGCAAAAUUCUUUGGGUUCAGAAACUGAAAGGUCCCCAGUUCAGUUUUCCUCUUGUUAAGGGGCAUGUGAUCUGGAUUCAGAAGCCCUGUUCAUCCCCAAACCUGUGAUUCAUCUGCUGUGUGGUUUUCCAUCUGUCACUUACCUUCUCGGCACCUGACCUUCGUCAGCCAAAUAUGGAAGAUUAAUUGGCUUGCUGAUGCGGAUUAUGCUCUUAGAAAGCAAAUUGGCUUCAGCCUGACGAGAAUCACUGCCUGCCGGCCCAACUCACGACAGCGACCGAGCUAAGGGGCUGUGCUCGCCUUACAGCCAAACCUCUCCACGCGAAGAAACACCAACUGCAUGCGGGAAAUGAGAAACCAGAUCCAAAAGGGAAGAACGGUGGCAUCAGUCAGUAGAUCAGGAUAACAGAGGGAACCUGUUCACAAUCAGUAAAGCUCAGGAACCAGGAGUACACACAGAUCCAUUCUGAAGUUGAGCGCUGAGAAAAUUCAGAAUGCGGAGAAUGUACUUCUCGUGGCUGAUUCCGUCCAGGCUUAACUUUUUAAAAAUGUUUUCCUUAUGUAUGAAUUUUAUAUGCAAGGCCACAUUUAAACUGUGAAAAAAAGCAUGUACAUCUGAAAGGGUUCUCAAUGUCAGUUACUUUGCAUCCAUUUGGGGGAACCAGGAGUUAGGUUCAUCACUUCAUAAGAAUAUGAUGUUUAACCUUCCACUUCUAGUAGGAUCCACAUAUUUGCAUGAAAACGGAUUGCAAAGUAUUUGAGGCUGAUGUGACUUGCAAAUUGAUAUUUUUCAUGUAAUGCCUUUUGAUAAACUUACAGUCAUGGAAUGGAUAUAUUUAAUUAGAGUAUUCUGUCAACGUGCAAAGAGAGCCAUACUGUUUCUACACAUACUAUUGGCUUAUUAUGGCUUAAUUUCCUUUUGUGGGUGGUUUUUUUGGCCACUCAGCAAGACAUUCUGAAGUAUGCCUGGUCUCAUGGUCUCCACUGCUUGGUCUCCAAGGCACGCUGAAGCUCAAGGCACCAUCUGAUGUGCACACAAAGACUUGGAGUAGUUCUCAGAAUGAGAAGAGAUUGAGAAAAGUAGUUCCGGUGGAUACCACAUACUAGUGGCUGAGGAUCAGGCUACAAAAUGAGCCUGUGCUGCAGAACAGCACACAGGAGCCACUCUGGUAUUUCAGCCACAGGAGCUGGAUUCUCUAAGGUUAGGUGGCGCACAGACAGUCACUUCAGUCAGCAAACCAGGUUCUAGCCCAGCUUUGUUUUGUAUAUCAUGUGACUUCUCAAAACCAUAGCAAGACUGGAGUUAGACCUGGGGAGGAAGGUGCCUGUGGUGACCACUUGGCUCGUUUCUGAGUGGUGGACACAAUGUUGGAAUGUGUCUGCAUUUAUUUACUCCUUCCCCAGUAGACCUCACCCAGUAGAACUUCAUAAUGACCAAUAUUCUUUCAAUCCUUUCCCUAUUUUUUAAAAUUACACAUGUCUGUAUAUGGAAGAUUGAGUCUUUUGGAGAAUCACCUCCCCAAGAAGACAUUUUCAGCAAAGGUCUGAUGAGAUAGAAAGUAGCAACAACCACAUAUACAAAAAUGGAAGGCAAUUCUGCAUGAAGUAUAGCAUGUCCUAUGUCCAUGUCCGAUAGCUGGUCUGCUUUAUUUAGGAAUAUAUGAGGCCCCAGGAGGAGAAUGGAUGAAAAUCCAACCAACAUUCCCAGACUCAGUGAGAUACCCCUGAUACUAUAAAAGAAUGCCUGGCAUGCCUGGCCUCAGGAGGUUAUUCCUAAGACCUCCAGCUUCACCUCCCAUCACCCCCCACCCCCCGAAUGCAGUCCUGGAUCCUUUCUCUUGGCUCCCUUGGCUAGCAGGUAUGCUCCCUGUUUUCUCUGCAGAUUCCCACAUCAACCUUCCAUCUGGAUACAUUAUCAAGUCUCUCAGUCUCCUGCCUCAGCUGCCCUCCUGGCUUCAUGUUCAUCUCUCUUUGAUUCUUGAAUAAACGUGAACACCCUUCAGGGUACCAGCUCCUCAGACUUCUCCUUCCUAUACCAGGGAAAUCCCUAGUCAUUUUAAGGUGGGUACAAAAGUGUUAUAGAAUCAGAGUCUCUGAAUUGGGAGGACCCAUAGGGAUCACUUUGCCCAAACUUUCACAUAACAAUGAUAUGUUGCCACAAGUUGUUAGAUGAGAAGAUGGAUUAAAGUAAUAAAAACAACAGUUUAAAGGUUUGCACCUUGUGGUAAAGAUCUCCAACAUGGAUAUAGUAGGCAGCCUCUAAGAUGGCUCCCAGGGAUCCUUGCCUCCUGGUGUAGCUCCCUCCACACUGUCCUGAAGUUUGUCUGUGUGCCCGACACAGCGCUGUAGGUCUCUUUCGAGAUUUGGUUAUAGAAAAAAGACUGUGAGUUCUUUUUGGAUCCUCUCUCUCUCUCUUUCCUCACUCACUCUGAGGGAAGCCAGCUAACAUGUUGGGAGGACACUCCUAGAAGCCUGCAGAGUGGCCUCCUUGGUAAGAAACAGAAGUCUCCACCCAACAGCCAGCAAGAAACGGAGGCCUGAAGCAAGCACAGGAUUGAACCCAGAAGCUCGGUCCAGCCUUCAGUGGAGACUGCAGCCCCAGCCGACAGCUUGACCACAACCUGAUGAGAAACUUAAGCCAGAACCAUCUACCUUAGGUGCUCCCAGAUUCCUGACCCACCGGACCGGGAGAUAACAAAUGCUUGUUGUUUUAAACUGCUAGGCUUCAAACAGUAAUUAUUUCUUCAACAUCAUAAAGGCCGUAUAUGACAAGCCCACAGCUAACAUUGUCCUCAGUGGCUGCAAGCUUUUCCUCUAAGUUCAGGAAAAAGACAAGGUUGUCCGCUCUCACCACUCUGAUUCAACAUAGUCCUGGAAGCCCUGGCCAGGGCAAUCAGGCAAGAAAAAGAAAGAAAAAGCAUCAGGCUUGGAACGGAAGAAGUAAAAUUGUCUCUAUUUGCAGAUGACAUGAUUUUAUGUAUAGAAAAUCCUAAAGACUCCACCAAAACACUGUUCGAUAUAAUCAAUAAAUUCAGUAAAGUUGCAGGUUACAAAAUCAAUGUACAAAAAUCAGUAGCAUUUCUGUACACUAACAAUGAAUUACCUGAAAAAGAAAUAAAGAAAACAACACCAUUUGCAAUAGUGUCAAAAACAAAUACUUAGAAAUAAAUUUAACCAAGAAGGUGAAAGAUAUCUACACUGAAAACUAUAAGGCAUUGAUGAAAGAAAUUGAAGACACAAAUAAAUGGAAAGAUAUCCCUUGUGUAGGGAUUAGAAGAAUUAACAUUGUUAAAACAUCCAUACUGUCCAAAGCUGUCUAUAGAUUUAAUGCAAUCCCUAUGAAGAUUCCAAGUUUUACAGAAAUACAAGAAACAAUCCUAAAAUUUGUGUGGAACCACAAAAGACCCGGAAUAGCCAAAGCAAUCCUGAGAAAGAAAAACAAAGCUGGAGGCAUCAAACUCCCUGAUUUCAAACUAUAUUACAAAGAAGUAGUAAUCAAAACAGUAUGAUACUGGCAUAAAAAGAAACACAUAGACUAAUGGAACAGAAUUGAGAGAGCAGAAAUAAACCCAUGCACAUAUGAUCAAUUAAUAUUGGACAAGAGUCAAGAAUAGGCAAGAGAGAAAAGACAGUUUCUUCAAUAACUGGUACUGGGAACACUACAUAUUCACAUGCAAAGGAAUGAAACUAAAUCCCUAUCUUACACCUCUCAAAAAUUAACUCAAAAUGGAUUAAAGACUUAAAUGUUAAACCUGAAACCAUAAAAUUCCUAGAAGAAAACAUAGGGAAAAGUCUUAUCACCGUGGGUCUUAGCAAUGAUUUUUUGGGUAUGACACCAAAAGCACAAGCAACAAAAGCAAAAGUGGGACUACACCAAACUAAAAAGCUUCUGCAUAGCAAAUGAGACCAUCAACAAACUGAACACGACCUAUGGAAUGGGAGAAAAUAUUUUCUCUUCUUUUUUUUUUUUUUUUUAAAGAUUGGCACCUGAGCUAACAACUAUUGCCAAUCUUUUUUUUUUUUUUCUGCUUUAUCUCCCCAAAUGCACCCCCACCCCGUACAUAGUUGUAUAUCCUAGUUGUAGGUCCUUCUAGUUGUGGGAUGUGGGACGCCACCUCAACGUGUCCUGAUGAGUAGUACCAUGUUCGCCCCGAGGAUCCGAGCCCUGGGCCGCCGCAGCGGAGCGCACAAACUUAACCACUUGGCCACGGAGCCGGCCCUGAGAAAAUAUUUUCAAACCACACAUCUGAUGAGGGGUUAAUAUCCAAAAUAUAUGAGAAACUCAUAAAACUCAAUAGCCAAAAAACAAAUAAUCUAAUUAAAAACGGACAAACGGCUGGCCCCAUGGCCAAGUGGUUAAGUUUGCACGCUCCGCAUCAGCGGCCCAGGGUUUUGCUGAUUCGGAUCCUGGGCAUGGACAUGGCAUCACUCAUCAAGCCAUGCUGAGGUGGUGACCCACAUAACACAACCAGAGACACGCACAACUAGAAUAUACAACUACGUACCAGGGGGCUUUGGGGAGAAGAAGAAGGAAAAGAAAAAGGAUUGGCAACAGAUGUUAGCCCAGGUGCCAAUCUUUAAAAGACAAAAAAAUGGACAAAGGAUCUGAAUAGAUAUUUUUCCAAAUAAGAUAUUCAACUAGCCAACAGGUAUCUGAAAAGGUGCUCAGCAUCACUCGUCAUCAGGGAAAGGUAAAUUAAAACCACAAUGAUAUCACCUCACACCUGUUAGAAUGGCUAUUAUCAAAAAGGCAAGCAAUAACAAGUGUUGGUGAGGAUGUGGAGAAAAGGGAACCCUUGUGCACUGUUGAUGGGAAUGUAAACUGGUACAGCCACUAUGGAAAACAGUGUGGAGGAUCCUCAGAAAUUUAAAAAUAGAAAUACCAUAUCAUCUGGCAAUUCCGCCUCUGGGUAUUUAUCUAAAGGAAACAAAAUCAUUAACUUGAAAGGCUGUCUGCAUCCCGUGUUCACUGCAGCAGGAUUUACAGUAGCCAAGACAUAGAGACAACCUAGGUCCAUGGAUGCAUGAAGGGAUAGGGAAAAUAUGGUAUAGAUAAAUGGAACACUAUUUUUACUGCUAUAAAAAGGAAGAAAAUCCUGCCAUUUUUGACAACAUGGAUGGACCUUGAGGACAUUAUGCUAAGUGAAAUAAAUCCGACAGAGAAAGACAAAUACUGUAUGAUCUCACUUAUAUGUGAAAUCUAAAAAGUCAAACUCACAGAAACAGAGAUCAGAUUUGUGACUGCCAGAGGGGAGGAAUGAGGAGUGGGGAAAUUGGGUGAAGGU